AGUAAAGAUAGUGGUCAGUCCUCUCUGAGGGGGUUUUCAUACUGAGACCCAAGAAGCAGCAAAGACCUGGGGACAGCAUGAAGGCAGCAAGAGCCCAGACCUGUAAUCUCAACAGAGGCUCAAUUCGCAUAUGUCUAGCACUAUAUUAUAUCCUGCAGACUAUACAGAAUGUCAAAAAAAAGAGAGAGAGAGGUGGGGGAGGUUAGAUGCUCCAAGAAGCCAUAUCUCAAGUUAUUAUUAGACAUUCCUGUAAGAGUUGUUCACACGUGGAAUGGAUUAAAGCACAUGAUGGUGAGCUUUUCUGCCACUGGAACAAUUCAUGCACAAGCUGAUGACAGCCUGUUAUGAAUGUUCUAAUGUCCUUUCAGCGGGACAAAGCUGCUUUUUUUUUUGUCUUUGUAAGGGCUGCACCCAUGGCAUAUGGUGGUGCCCAGGCUAGGUCGGGAUCGAAUCAGAACUGUUGCCCCUGGCCUAUUUCAUAGCCACAGCAACCCCAGAUCUGAGCUGUGUCUGUGACCUACACCCCAGCUCACAGCAACGCCGGAUCCUUAACGCACUGAGCAAGGAUCCAACCUGCGUCUUCAUGGAUACUAGUCAGAUUCGUUUCUGCUGAGCCACAACAGGAACGCCGGAUGAAGCUGGUCUUGCUGACUCUAAAGACCUUACCACUUUUUAAAAUUAUCAUUCACUUGAGAGGAAAGUAUAGCUUCGCGUAAAACAGAAAACAACAUAACACAGGGAUGUGCUAGAAGGCCUAUAGGAGCUCUGAGAAAUGAGGGGUUAAUAUCCCCUAAAGUGCCCUUUGAGGUCCCUCCCACCAUUGAUGAGUCCCUUCUUUUAGUCUCAUCCUUGUGCCUCGGAUUAUUGCCUAGGAUGGUCCCUCUUUCUAAACAGGCGAAUAACAGCUAACCUACACUGAGUGUUGACUGUGUGCCAGGGACCAGCUUAAGCCCAUCACAUAUAUUCCAGUAAUGCUCACAGCUACCUUACCAGGUCGAUGAUACUAUUAUCCUUCUGUUAACAGAUAAGCAAGCUGAGAUGCAGAGUCAAGGAGUUUGCCCAAGGUCACACAGCUCUAAGUGGCUGUCUGUGGCACAAAGUUUGGGGUUAGUCCUCAGUUUUUGUGCAUGCCCUCUCCGUGCUCAGACUGUCUUCUUGCCUCUUCUCCAUUAGUUUCAUAUCCUGCCUUCCAAUCCUGGGUCAAAAUUCAUACCACUAAGGAAUCCAUCUUAAGUGUCCACCCUCUUUCUGGCUCUACUCCACGAUGCCUCAACCUGUAGAUACUUUGGAAGCAGUAAAGCAUCAUCCUUGUGUAGUCAGACCACAUUCAGAUACCCAGCCCAGCAGCUAUAUCAACCUUGGGCAAGUUCCUUAAUAAGACAAUUCCCAUGAUUAUUUUUAUUGGCUCACAUCUUUAUGGUUUGUUUCUUGAGGGGUUUGUUUGUUUGUUUGCUUGCUUGUUUUUUGGCUAUGCCCACAGCAUGUGGAAGUUCCAGGGCCAGGGAUUAAACCUGCAGCCCAGCAGUGACAAUGCCAGAUCCUUAAACCACUGCCACCAGGGAACUCAUUCGCAUCUUUAAAACUUUGUGUAUCCAGGAGUUCCCGUCGUGGCUCAGUAGAAACCAAUCUGACUAGCAUCCAUGAGGACGCAGGUUUGAUCCCUGACCUUGCUCAGUGAGUUAAAGAUUCGGCAUUGCCAUGAGCUGUGGUGUAGGUUGCAGAUGUGGCUUGGAUCCCACAUUGCUGUGGCUCUGGUAUAGGCUGGCAGCUGCAGCUCCAAUUCAACCCCCUAGCCUGGGAACCCCAAUAUGCUGCAGGCACAAGCCAUAAAAAGAAAAAAACAAAACAAAACAAAAAAAACCCCACAACUUUGGGUAUCCAACACUUAUUGCCUGCCUUUUUUUUUUAAUGGCCACACCCAUGGUAUAUGGAAGUUUCUAGGUCAGGGAUUGAAUCCAAGCCAAAGCUGUGACCUACACAACAGUUGCAGCAAUACCAGAUCCUUUAACCCACAGUGCCAGGCCAGAGAUAGAACCGGCACCUCUGCAGCAACCAGAGCCACUGCAAUCAGAUUCUUAACCCACUGUGCCCCAGCAGAACUCCCAUUACAUGCCUCUUAUGUUCUUGGCACUAGAAAUAUAAAAAUGAGGUAGACACAACCCCUGUCUUUGAGUCUGGACCUAGCCUAGCAGCUUGUAGGACACCUGGGCUCUUGUGGCUGUCACUGAAGGAGGUCCAGUCUCUUUGCCCUCUUCAGUUUCUGGAGGCAGGAAUCUGGGGCAGGGGGCAGAAGGCACAGUCCCAACCCACCUUAUAGGGGAUGACCAGGAACCUCCCAGUGGAUCAAGAAUAUAUCCAGACAAGAGAGUUCCUGCCAUGGCUCAGUGGAAACAAAUCUGACUAACAUCCAUGAGGACACAGGUUCAAUCCCUGGCCUCACUCAGUGGGUUAAGGAUGCGGCGUUGCCAGGAGCUGUGGUGUAGGUCGCAGACGUGGCUCAGAUCUUGCGUUGCUGUAACUGUGGCAACGAUUAGACCCCUAGCCUGGGAACCUCCAUAUGCCACGGGUACAGCCCUAAAGAAAAGACAAAAAAAGAAUAUAUCCAGACUAUAUAUUAAUUUUUGUAUUAGAGCAUUUGAGACAUAAGUGCCGGAGUGAAAAUAAACUCUGAUAAGUUGACCCCUCCCCCAGCCCCCCAGCAGGAAGUGUGGUUUGACUCAGAUGGUUUCUAAGACAGAGGUAGGAACCCUCAUUCCUUUCCAGACUCAGCUAAUAGCAUGAUUUUUCUAGGGGACACUGACCUAAAAGGGGUCCUCUUGAGAUAAUGUCCCCCAGCUAUAAGGUGCUCCCCUUUCUAGGGCAGAGAUAAUUCUAAAGCAACUGUAGCGCGGAUGGGUUGACAUAGUGCUAAGGUUUUCCCUGGAUGGCUGGGUGGGUUUGGGCAGAGCCAUCCUUAGCUAGCCUCCUGGUCCAUUCCUACAUGGCUCCAUGUGAUCUGAUCCUUAGGGUCUGGUCUACAUCCUGCCAGGGACUAGGACUUUUGCUGAGUUCAACUCUAGUCAUUUUAGACCAGCUUUUCUAGAAGCUUCCUCAGGUUCCUUCAUGAGGCACAGAGAGAAACCUUGAAUACCAGCCCCCCAACUCCUGACUUUUUGUCUGUUGAGCUCAUCUUCCUGGCUCCACUGCUGUUGGUUACAAACAGGAAGCAAGGAUGCCCAGAGAGAAGAAAGUGUAUGACCCUGUCACCACCUGUCUGAGGCUCCCAGGCUGAAGUGAGGUCAUCCUUAUCCAUCCACCAGCCUGGAGAUGGUUGACAUCACCAUGCUGUCUCUUCUACCUUUGCACCCAGCCCACGGAUCACAACCCAUGGGAGAGGAUGCAAUUUGCUGAUUUCCCUACCCCGCACCUGGCUCGUGGCUGUGAGGCAAGCCCCCCAGAUAUUUAACCUAAAUCCACCACGCUGUAGAUUUCCAGGAAGACCCAGCUCUCCUAUCUCCUACAACCCGUCAGCUGAAAUUGAGGUACCAAGACUAAAAAACGAGUCUCCUCUGUAAACUCCAGGGCUCUGCCUUGCUGGAGAGAAAUCAGGAUUGCUUGAAUCCCUGUGGUCCUUGGAUAGCAGAUCACUACAAAAUCAAACUCCCUUUGUGUCCUCCCUCAAGGUCCUAAAACUAGCCAAGGACAUUGUGGCAGACGACCGGGUCCAGUUCCAUGUAUUGAAUGCCUUUGACCCCCCACCCAUUAGCCCCUAUGAUGAUCAGGCCUUGGGCUACCAGCUGCUCCGCCAGACCAUACAGUCUGUCUUCCCGGAAAUCAACAUUGUUGUCCCAGGUACAUGUGUUGUCAGCACAGACAGCAAACACUAUUUGAACCUCACCACUGGCAUCUACCUGUUCAACCCCCUCUACCUGCAGCCGCAGAGCUUCUGCACGUGAGUAUGUGGAACAGGUUUGGACAGCCUGGGGGAGAGAGGAGUUACAUAUGACCUGUCCCUUCCACGCCCCUGUUCUCUUGACAGUCCACAGCAUGGGUGAAAGCCAGGGUUUGCACAAACUAAAAGACACUGUAGAACCCAACUGGCCAACAUUCCUCAGUUCCACAAUCUCACCACUCCCCGAAACUUGUGGGAAUUGGUGACUGUUUUUCAGAGAUAGAGUCCAUCAGAUGAUUGAAAGGAACCUGGUAGAAUCAGAAGCCAUGGGUGCUGUCCCCACCCCUUCCUCCCUUUGAGAGAGUACAUCCCCUCUGAUCUCAUUUUCUCCCCAAAAACGGGAGAUUCCACAGUUGGCAGUUACCGGUGAAAUACAGACACAUUUGAGGUCAAAGGUGGGUCCAUGCUUUGAAUUCUCAAAAGCAAACAUACUGUAGGAAUCUAAGACAUGCUCACAUUUCAACUGCUGUGUGUGAAUUACUCUUUGUGGGUUCUUCAGCAGAUUUUUAGUCCCAGGAUAUGAGGGGAUGAUGUCCAUUUCCUCUCUGCUCCUUACCACAUCCAGCUCUGAUUUCCUCGUCGUAAGUCGGUUGCCAACAAAACAAUUUGAAUAUGAGCUUAAGAACAGAUUUUAGGAGUUCCCAUUGUGGCACAGCAGAAGUGACUCUGACUAGAACCCAUGACAAUGCGGCUUCAGUCCCUGGUCUUUCUCAGUGGAUUAAUGAUCUGGUGAUGCCAUGAGCUGUGGCAUAGGUCACAGACAAGGCUUGGAUUCCAAGUUGUUGUGGCUGUGGUGUAGGCUGGCAGUUGUAGCUCUGAUUCAACCCAUAGCCCGGGAGCUUCCAUAUGCCAUGGGUGUGGCCCUUUAAAAAGCCAAAAAAGAGGAGUUCCCAUCGUGGCUCAGUGGUUAACGAAUCUGACUAGGAACCAUGAGGUUGCGGGUUCGAUUCCUGGCCCUGCUCAGUGGGUUAAGGAUCUGGCGUUGCCAUGAGCUGUGGUGUAGGUUACAGACGCAGCUCAGAUCCGGCGUUGCUGUGGCUGUGGCGUAGGCCGGCGGCUAUAGCUCCAAUUCGACCCCUAGCCUGGGAACCUCCAUAUGCCACAGGAGCGGCCCAAGAAAUGGCAAAAAAGACAAAAAAAAAAAAAAAAAA
rnacentral:lncRNA from 1 species